CCAGGAAUUGCGCCUCGCCGCAACCGCCGGUUGGUGCUAAAAAGACCACGAUUCAAUCGCAAAAAUGCAAAUUCUGGUGCGGGUCACCCCGCAUUGCGUUCGAAUCCGCGUAAUAUGCUGAAAUUCCGUGUCUUCUAACCGCCGUGCCGAAUUCCACUUCGGUACAAAACACGUUACUAAUCUCGUCGUUAUUCGCCGGUUUUACCGGCUCCC
rnacentral:misc_RNA from 1 species